rnacentral:lncRNA from 1 species
AAUCUGAGUCUGUCUGCAGGUCCAGCAGGCAGGGGUUCUGGAGAAGAAGCAUGGAGUGAAUCCAACGUGAUGUUCUGUGGGGGCAGCUCAUCCUCGGGUGUCAGAGAGAAGGAAAACUCCCACUUCUCUGCUCCUCUCUGGCCCUGGACUUACCCUCGCUUGGGGACAGGGCAGAUCAGGGCUGAAAGCAUAAACAGUUUGUAAAUUAUCAGGAGGGGCUGCGGCUGCGCAGCUGGAUGCCCGAUUUCAGUCUCCUAAGCUGCUUUGAGAGUCACCUAAGUGCCUGCAUUAUUUAGGGCCCCUGCAGGGAAACUCCCAGAGGCCGAGUGAUUAGUGAUGGAUCCGAUCAGAGCCCACACUCCAUCAACGAAGAAGUGUUUGGGCAGCCCCCUGUAGGCCUGGAGUGAGGAUGAAAAUGACGAGGGUAGAACAGGCAGGGAGAAAGGGGGCGGGGCAAAGGAACAAAAGCCCAGAUGAAGGCGUGGGAGCAGCAUCCCUCUUCCUGCAUCACCCAGGAGGUGGCUGUGUGCAUCCCAAGGCUUGGCCCAGCGCCGGCACACAGCAGGUACCAAAAGAGUGUUCAUUAACUGACUGAAUGGCAUACACGAAACUGAGCUGAGGAAUGAAUCCACUGUCAUUUGUUAAGGACAGUGCCACUGGUUUGUUUAUGGAAAGGAAACUUUCAUAGUUGGCCCCCUUGGCUGAGCUUUUCAGAUGUUCUUUCCUGAGUAAAUGCCAAAGGCGAGAGCCACAAAGACACAGAACUGGGGGAGUUCCCUGGUGGCCUAGUGGUGAAAGGAUCUGGCAUUGUCACUGCUGUGACUUGGGUUUGAUCCCUGGCCCAGGAAAGUUUGCAUGCCAUAGGCAUGGCUAAAAAAAAAAAACCAUACACAUACACACACACACACACACACACAUAUACCUUGGAUCCUUUCCACCAGAAUUGUGAGGUGCCUGCCCUCCGAAUGGCAAGUUGGACUGAGUUUGGGAUGCAACUCUGGUGUUGCUGGCAGGCUUCACCUUUGGUCCCGGCCUCUUAAACACGAAGGCUACCUGUGGGGCCUGCUGACCUUCAGACCUUCAUGUAAGGUGAUCGAAGUUACCUGGAAGAGAGAGAGCACUUUGAGAGGGGCCCUGAAACAUCAGCUCCUUCUUACACCUGUGUAUGUGUGUGUGAGUGUGAGUGUGCCUAUGUGUGUGUGCACACAUGUGUGCGUGUGAUUAAAACAGUGCAUUUUCCUCCUAAAAUCCAAAGCUUUUAUCUGUGAGAAAGAGAAGCUCUAUGUGUAACCAUGACAAAAUAAUCACUUUAUUCAGCAGUCAAGAAACUUCACGGGUUUGCCUGAUCCAGACCCUGUUGAGGUUCUCGGAGCGGAUUCAUCACCGCCUGCUUCCUUGGACCCACGAGAAGCCGCCCGGGUUCCCGGUACCCCACUAGGCUGCAAUUCUGGGUUUUCAGCGCCAUCUCCCCUUGGGGAAUUUCUCGGAAGACGAGAUUGUCUGUCAUUCAUCUUUGCAUCAUCGGAACCAAAUACAGACCUGGCACCAGGGCGGUCAACAAGUGUGUGUGACACUGAGCGUCAGAGAACAGGGAGAGAGGUGGAUGGGGGGGAAGCGUGGGUUAGAGCGUGGACAGAGCGAUGAGUCACAGUGAACCCAUGUGUUGAAGCGGCAGGCUGGCACUGAAUCUUUCUGAAUCGGGAAAACAGCUUCAUUCACACCCCUGGGGGCAGUGGCAGGGGGUGGGCACAGGAGAUGUGUGGAUUUCCUUUCCGCCCUUCAGACCCACCUGUCCUCCGAAGUAACCACUGCCCCUGGAACUAGGGUUCUGCGCUGCGAGCUUGACCUUCUGCGUGUGCUCUGGGCGGCCCAGCCAGGACCGGGCGCUCUCCUCCAAGGAGGGCUGGUGGGCACGCAGCCCCAGAGGCUGUUACAGCAAGACGCUGAGCUUUGCUGCGCAAACAUGAGCCAGCGCUCACCAACGGGAGAAAUAAACCGUAGAGGACUUCGCGGGCUCUCUCUGGGUGGCACAGAGCAAAGACGGGGUCCGCUGGCCAAGUGUCAAGAGCCUACGUGGGAGGGGCCAGUGCAUAUUCCAGAAUGGCUUUAAAAUCUCCUAUAUUUAUGUGUAUCUGCAGAUCUCCGAUGGCUGCCUCAUUGCCUUUCCUGUUGGACUGUGAGAGGCAGACCCGGUCUUUACGGAUGCCCAUCAAUGCACCCUCCAAGGGUAGUGAGGGCUGCACGGUCAGCGUGAGAACCGGCUCCAAGAAGCACCUGCCGGGCCGGCCCGCGUCGGCUCGAGGAGCGCCUCGGAAACAUCACUU